rnacentral:rRNA from 1 species
UACGGGGGGGGCAAGCGUUGUUCGGAAUUACUGGGCGUAAAGGGCGCGUAGGCUGCUCGCUAAGUCGGGUGUGAAAACUCUGGGCUCAACCCAGAGCCUGCAUUCGAAACUGACGAGCUAGAGUUCUGGAGGGGAAAGCGGAAUUCCUGGUGUAGCGGUGAAAUGCGUAGAUAUCAGGAGGAACACCGGUGGCGAAGGCGGCUUUCUGGACAGAAACUGACGCUGAGGCGCGAAAGCUAGGGGAGCGAACAGG